CGUAAACUAGCGAGACCCGCUUCGAUGCAGUGUGAUCCGCAGCCGGCGGCGGCGGAAGGGAACUAGGGGGCUGCAGGUGCUUGAGAUCGCCCCCCGCCCCCUCGACCCGCAGCACCCGCCGUGCCCGAGCGGUAGGGCAGCCUCCUCGAGCUGGGCAUCUCGCGCACCCCUCAGCGGGGAGCCGGGCAUCUCGCGCACCCACCUGGAGAGGGAGCUUCCCAGGUGCCCGAUUCGCUCAGGGGCAUGGCCUCCUCGAGCGGGUGCCUCGCGCUGGCCCGCCUCGAGCGGGAGGGCAGCAGCUGAGCAGAGGAACGGAAGGGGAGCGCCCCAACUGCGCAAUUCGGGAGUGGCAGGGCAAGCGGCGCUGCUUGGUUUCUGGGCGGUUGGGCUGGGGAGGUGAGGCGUUGCAGGCUCAGGCUCACUGCUCAUUGGUGGAGCUGCAGAGCAGUCAACGACGAGGGAAUCUCUGCAACGUCUUUUUUACAUGCACGACAUUUUUCUGGUUUUCUCGAGGUAUUUUGGAAAUGGAGACACACUGAUCCCGUCAUGCUGGUCGUUAAGCAAGGGAACAUGCUGAUAUUCAAAAACACAUGCCCAUAUCUGUAGUCGAUUACUGAAUAUUUUGAUGCUCUAAACUGCAGUUAAAAAUAUCCGAUCCUUUAUGUUCAGAUUUAGUUCUCCCUUUCAAGUAAUCUGUUUCCUUCGGUGGCUCUUUUCUCUUUUAGUAAGUUAUUUGGCCACUCUUUGAUGGUAGAUGAGAAUGAACUAAAAAUCCCAACCAGUAACACAUUCAGUAUUGCCCCCUCUGUUAGUAUUUCACUAAUUCUGUGUUAGUAAAUCCCUACCUCAGUAACAGAGUAAUUCUUUCUUACUCAAUUACAUGAGUUAGUAUAGUAGUUAUGUUAGCAUCUAGUAUCAGUAAUUUUUUUUGUCUGGUUAGUAGUACCAUGAUUUUUUUUGCUUAGGCUCAGUAAUAUUCCAACAACCAUUUUUUUGUCAGCAAUUACUAAAUGUUGAUGCUCAAAAUUGAGUAGUUAGGCCAGUAGUAUCAGUAAUUUGUUAGGUUUAGUGGUUAGAACAGUAUUUUUUCGAUUCCUGAGCGCUGAUGAUCUGAAUCGAGUAGGUAGUUUAGUAGUUCAGUAAUGAAAUACUAUACUAUCGAACUACAUGAGAUUGGAAUAGAGCUCGGUUACUAAAAACUACUGAAACUGAAAAAACUACUGAGCUCAAUCAUCUCAUGAAUCAUCAAGAGCUAUAUAAUCGAAAUAGUUUGAAUAGGCUAUUACUGAAUCAUCUGCGUAAUUUUGGACUGAUAUAUAUGUUCUAGGUUUUCUUAGGGGUGUAUUGGAAAUGGAGACACAUUGAUACCAUCAAGCUAAUCGUUGUCCCUGCUGGUGGGGAGGUGGCUCGUCGGUGUCCUUAGUAGAUGGGGUGCAGCACCUGCAAUGGAGUGCGGCGGUGUCAGCGGCAGCCACAACACACCUGCCUGGGCCCUUUGCGCGGUGCCCACAGUGGCCUUGAGCAGCUUCUCUGGUGUUGCAGUGGCCGCGGAGGCCUCGAGCUGUGGCGAUGCGGCAUCAAAGCAUCCUCCCCUGCGAGCUGCGCCCUUCCUCCCCUGCAUGAUCCCAACAAGCAACUUGUUAAAGAGGCGUCCGAUCCUACCGGGUGCUCCGGCACAAUUGGAGAUGAAGAUACGCUGAUAUCAUCAAGCUAAUGUUAAGCAAGCAGCAACAACAAAUUAAGAUGAGAACAGUGGGAGUAGUGCUCAGUAUCCAACAUUACAUGCCCAUUUCUUAUUGGUGAUUUCUGAAUAUUUCAGUCCUCUAAACCGCACUCAAUGUUGGCUAGGCCAGUAGUUUUGUAAGAAUUUAGUAUAAAUAAUUUGUUAGGUUUAGUAGUUAGUCCAGUAUUUUAUUUUUUUCUGAUUCCUAAGUAUUGAAGAUAUGAAUUGAGUAGGUAGUCUAGUAGUUCUGUAAGCAUUUUUCAGUAAAGUAAUUGUUACUGCAGGCAUAAUUAUUCUAUUUAUUGCUUAGUGUUGCUUUGUUUAGGCUCAGUACUUGUGUUAGUAUCUAGUAUCAGUAAUUUUCGAUCAUUACUGAACAUUUGAUUCUUUGAGUCCAGUAGUUAGUAUAGUAGUCCAGAUAUUGAUCUCAAUGGCUAAGAACAAAACCAAAAGCCAUGCGUAAACUACUAAACCCAUUCACAUGAUCUAGUUCAGUAGUUGCCAUGGAUUUUUUUUCUUUCUUUCUUCUAGCUCAGUAAUAUUCCUAACAUCACUUCUUUGUUGCAAUUUUACAAUAUCUUUUUAUUCCUGAACAUUGAAGAUUUUAACUGUGUAGGUAGUCUAGUAGUUCAGUAGCCACCAUUACUGAACUACUGGACCAAACAAUGAAAUACUAGAUUACUGAACUACAUGAGAUUGUAUAGAGCUCAAUAAUUAAAACUACUGUAAGUAAAAAAACUAAACUUUUGAGCUCGUGCAAUUUUUAUAUUCAGUAACUCAACAUAAUUUGAAUAAGCUUACUGAACAAUCUAGUAUCUUUAUUGUUAUUGUUAAUGUUUGAUGACAAAGAACUAAACCCUAAUUUUGCCGGCCAUGGAAUCAUCCUACCGCCCUCGCUUUACGUACGGUAUGUCUCAAGUAAUCCAGAAAUAUCCCUCAACACCCAGCAAUACUUGCAUAUUUUUCAGUAAUUCUCCGUAAUCCAAUAAUACCAUGUAGCAUUUUAGUUAUUAUCAGUAAAGCAGUAACCUAGUAAUUUUAUAUCGUGCCGGUCUCACUCCGCUUUCCUCGAUCUUUUUCAGAGUUUUACCGAGGUAGGUUCAUUUGGGCCCCCUUUUGGUCUCAUCAUCUCAUGCAUACGAUAUUGAUAGUAUGAACUUCACCAAGGACAGGGUUCCAAGUGAAGAGAAGAUGCUUCAUGUGUUUUUUAUAGACUUUUUUUUUGGUUUUGGAGGCUACCUGAGAUAGUUAAUCAUAACCAAUAUAUGUACAUAAGCGUAAUCACCGCCCACUAUUUAUGUACACCCUUGGAUUCAGUAAUCCAGAGAACUAGUAUUUCUGUAUUAUGUACUUUUUUCCAUUAAUUUUUUCAAUUUUGGUGAA